rnacentral:rRNA from 1 species
UACGUAGGGGGCAAGCGUUGUCCGGAUUUAUUGGGCGUAAAGCGCGUGUAGGCGGCUAGGUAGGUCCGCUGUGAAAACUUGAGGCUCAACCUCAAGAGGUCGGUGGAAACCAUCUAGCUAGAGUCCGGAAGAGGAGAGUGGAAUUCCUGGUGUAGCGGUGAAAUGCGCAGAUAUCAGGAAGAACACCCGUGGCGAAGGCGGCUCUCUGGGACGGUACUGACGCUGAGACGCGAAAGCGUGGGGAGCGAACAGG